rnacentral:rRNA from 1 species
GAUGACGCUUGCCGCAUGCUCUACCACUUCAAGUUGGACGGGAAGUGGUGUUUCCAGUGGCGAAUGGGUGAGUAACGCGUAAGAACCUGCCCUUGGGCGGGGAACAACAACUGGAAACGGUUGCUAAUACCCCGUAGGCUGAGGAGCAAAAGGAGGAAUCCGCCCAAGGAGGGGCUCGCGUCUGAUUAGCUAGUUGGAGAGGUAAUAGCUUACCAAGGCGAUGAUCAGUAGCUGGUACGAGAGGAUGAUCAGCCACACUGGGACUGAGACACGGCCCAGACUCCUACGGGAGGCAGCAGUGAGGAAUUUUCCGCAAUGGGCGAAAGCCUGACGGAGCAAUGCGGCGUGGAGGUGGAAGGCCUACGGGUCGUCAAUUUCUUUUCUCGGAGAAGAAACAAUGACGGUAUCUGAGGAAUAAGCAUCGGCUAACUCUGUG